rnacentral:rRNA from 1 species
AGUGAACGCUGGCGGUAGGCCUAACACAUGCAAGUCGAACGGCAGCACAGUAAGAGCUUGCUCUUACGGGUGGCGAGUGGCGGACGGGUGAGGAAUACAUCGGAAUCUACUUUUUCGUGGGGGAUAACGUAGGGAAACUUACGCUAAUACCGCAUAGGACCUACGGGUGAAAGCAGGGGAUCUUCGGACCUUGCGCGAGUGAAGGAGCCGAUGUCGGAUUAGCUAGUUGGCGGGGUAAAGGCCCACCAAGGCGACGAUCCGUAGCUGGUCUGAGAGGAUGAUCAGCCACACUGGAACUGAGACACGGUCCAGACUCCUACGGGAGGCAGCAGUGGGGAAUAUUGGACAAUGGGCGCAAGCCUGAUCCAGCCAUACCGCGUGGGUGAAGAAGGCCUUCGGGUUGUAAAGCCCUUUUGUUGGGAAAGAAAAGCAGCAGGUUAAUACCCCGCUGUUCUGACGGUACCCACAGAAUAAGCACCGGCUAACUUCGUG